GUGUGUGUGGAUGGUGUUCAGUACCAAGGACAGCAAGUUUGCCUGUGUGUGGAUGGUGUUCAGUACCAAGGACAGCAUGUUUGCCU
rnacentral:pre_miRNA from 1 species